rnacentral:rRNA from 1 species
AUCUACAGCCAUGCCACCCUGAACAGGCCCGAUCCUGUCUGAUCUCGGAAGCUAAGCAGGGUAGGGCCUGGUUAGUACUUGGAUGGGAGACCACAUAGGAAGAUACUGUAGGUGUAAAAA